rnacentral:rRNA from 1 species
CAUAGUCUUUUGUGAUACAUUUUCAAUGAGUCAGGUUGUUUGGGAAUGCAGCCUAAAUUGGGAGGUAAAUCUCUCCUAAAGCUAAAUAUUUGCGAGAAACCGAUAGCGAACAAGUACCGUGAGGGAAAGAUGAAAAGAACUUUGAAAAGAGAGUUAAACAGUAUGUGAAAUUGUUAAAAGGGAACCGUUUGGAGCCAGUCUGGCUUUCCUAUAAUCAAUCUAGGCUUCGGCCUUGAUGCACUUGUAGGUUAUCGCCGGCCAACGACAAUUGGGAUCGCGAGGGAAAAAACCUUUGGAAAUGUAGCCAUUCUGCAAAGUUUGGUGUUAUAGUCCUUGGGAAAAUACCUUGUGCUCGAUUGAGGAUCGCAGUGAAUGCCUUUCGGGGCAGGAUGUGGUGAGGUAGGUUUGCUUGACCUAAGGUGACUUUCGGGUUGCUUUAGCGAUGGCUUACUCCUUGCUUCUAUCUUUAUUCGCU